CUCCGAUUUAUAGUAGGAGGAGGCGAGGAGUCGAGUGUGGGAGACGGGCAGUGGCGUGAGGGAGACUCAACACUCAACCGGAUGGACGGAUCCCCACCGGCUCCCCGGUUUUGGUAGCUUGGACACUUUCUUGCUGAAGCGAUGCAAGAUGCAGGGCUAGGACUGGCUAAAAAGGCUGCACUGUAACUGAUGCUAGGGUGCAGGGCUACGAGUCUCAAAGGAAGCUGUGUGUGGCAAGCUUGGGUUCGAAUCUUGGGUUUCAAUGAAACUGUCAUGGGAGAAUUAAAUGGUGUUUAGCCUGAUAUCGAGCUUCCAUUUCCUCAACAAACCGUGAUUGAAGAAGCCACUAAAAUAAAGGUUCGUUUUGGAGUUGGUAAUGUAUCUUGGCCUUCGGUCUUAGGCACACGGAUUCUCUUCUCUAGUGUUGUUGUGUGCAAUUAACAUUCGAUCAAAAUGCAAUAGCUCAGAUCAAGGGAAGUAAAAAUCUAUGUCAAAGUACUGACACUAAAAAACACUAAAAUUCAGCAAACGUAUGUCCUAAUGUCAAUUAUAUGAGAUUUUAUUACAUGAUAUGUGUAAAAUCUUGGGUACUCCAAAUGAAGCGAUCUCUUGACUAAAAUAAAGCAGUAUUUGGUCAAGCUUUUAGAUUGGGCUUCCGAGGAGAACUACCCAGCCAAAUGGUUGGGUUCCAAAUUCCGAAGGAAUUAGAGAGCGGUUUGCAUUUGGAGAACAGUUCAAGUGCAAUCUAUAUGCUUAGGCUCAAAGUGUAUUACUCAAGAGAUCACUUUAUAAUUUCUAGUUGUAUCACUUGGAAGUUAGAACAGAGCAUGAGUUUUUUUUGUCUUAACGCUCUUUUGUGUGUAAAAUUAGUUCAAUUGUAUUGCCAUAAGGUUUUUAUCCAUAAUUUAUGUAUACUACGGUUGUGUCAUGUUUUAUUUGUUUUCUUCUCUCACUUAGCUGCUUUCGUUUCAUAUGCGUUCCCUGCAUAUAUUUUUACUAUAUAUCUACUGUUUAAAGUAUGAAUUGGCUCGUGCACCUCCGUUCAUUAAAAAAAAGCAAAAAAAUGGAGAAAACUACCUGACUCGCACGGUCUCCGACGGGGCGCGAGCGGAGCGUGGCUGCGGGCAAGACACUGCCCAACUAGCGCGAUCAGCUGGAUCAAGCAGGGCACGGAAGCCCCGCCCUUGCGCCGCCGUGGUCUCCGUUGGCCGAGUGCCAACCCCCCCCCCCCCCCCCGGCGGGGCAGGUGGUGCCGCUACCGCUGCCGCCAAGGAGCCCCCGCAAUGCACAGCAGGGCGUGCGACGGCAUCGACCUGUUCUCCCCAAAGUGCCUAUCGACGGUGAGGACCACCACGACCCGCUACUCGGGGCUGCUCACCUGCCACUCCAUGCUCCUCUCGGUGGUCGACUCUGAUGAGUCGGAGGACGGGGAGGAGGAGAGCGUCGUGUUGUGGGGGUUGCUUGAGGAGUGCUACGGCGGCGACUUCUCCGAGACUGCCAACGAGGAUGGGGGCAUGUGCUCCAGCGACUCCAGCCUGCUACAGGGGGCCAUUGACCAGUUUAGUGGAGGUGGGACGAGGAGGUUACGUCGCAGCUAAGCAGGAGGGGCGGCGAGCUUGCGGGGGCUAAUCCAAGGAGAACUUGAAGGUUGAGGUGCGUUUGCUGCUAGCAAGUGCUCCGGUGGCCAAGAUCCCGUGGAUUCGAGCUCCCAUGUAAGGCUUCUCUUCUGUAGAUGGUGAUAAUCUUCUCCUGUUUCCAUUACGAGCAUAUGCGAUUAUUCAAUUCUGUUAAGCCACUUUUCGAUGAUUAUGCAUGUUUGAUUAUUCAAAUUUAGCAUAAAUGCAUAACUUCUCUUUUUGUCUUAAGAGACGCUAUUUUGAGGACCAUAAGUUUCAUGCUUUGGUGAUACUCGGUGCUCUUCCAAUUGCAGGGAUGAGGAGUAGCGGUAGGAUUAGCAUUUUUAAUUUGGGUGUAUAUACUAGUUGCAUUCGUGCCUGUGUGUGUAGUCGCAUGCGUUCCGGCUCGCUCAUGUCUACACUGUUGCCACUGCCCUCUAAGCUUAACCUACGCCCAUGCAGUGCCCUGCCACCGCGACCCCACCUCGCUCGCGCUUGUGCCAUCGCCAUCCUUCACGUGGGGCUUUCCCCAUAUGACAUCUCUCUCCCCUCAUAGAUCAGUUGAGUUUUUCUGUUGACUCCUGCCAUUCUCUCUCUCAAUGAUUUUGCAUUGUAUGUGGAACGGAUGAGCAUCUUAUACAGGGUCAUAAUUUAAUUUAUGUGUGCUUAAUAUCCUUCAUCACCAUUAUUCAUGUCUUCCAAUGGAAAUUGUGGUGAGGAGGAGGGUCGGGGGCAGGGGCUCUGUAUGAUGAUGAAGCAGAUGUUUGGUACGGCGUUGCUCAGUCAGGUGAAGUGCCUUGUGUGCAAGGGAGAAUCAUACAAGACAUGAGUCUUGACUUGCCCAGGAGCAGUUCUGUUGGUGAUGCCUGCCCACUUCUUUCAACCGGAGAUAAUGGAGGGUGCAAAUAAGUAUAGUUGCGAAAGAAAACCAAACAUCCUGGCAAUCUUCAAGAAAUUGGAGUGGCUGUUGAGUGUUGACCUUGUACAAUUCAAGAGGAGCCACUGCCAGAGUGGUGAGCGCAAAGCAGGAAGUCUCACUCGCGAAAGAGCACAUGAAGCAGUUUGACGACUCCAUCAUUUUGGUUGCUUGGUCCAUCUUGAAUGAAUGGAACAACCGAGUGUUCGAUAGGUCGGAUUUGAUGCCAUCGACAUUAACACAACAUGUAAUUGCAGAAGAAGAGCUGUGGUCGCAGAUAACCAUUCCUUGCCUGGUAGCUGGUGAUAGUUUUAGGUAGCUAAAUGCAAUAGGGAGACAUUAGCUUUUGUGCUCGUUAGUAGGCUUCGGGCCUGAUGGUCGUGUAAUUCUUACUUUUUUACUUAAUUCAUGAAAUACGUGCACAUCGCGUUCUCGAAAAAGAA